rnacentral:rRNA from 1 species
GUGCCAGCAGCCGCGGUAAUACCGGCAGCUCGAGUGAUGUCCCAUAUUAUUGGGCCUAAAGCGUCCGUAGCUGGCCGGGGAAGUCCGUCGGGAAAUCCACCCGCCCAACGGGUGGGCGUCCGGUGGAAACUGCGUGGCUUGGGACCGGAAGGCGCGACGGGUACGUCCGGGGUAGGAGUGAAAUCCCAUAAUCCCGCACGGACCACCGAUGGCGAAAGCACUUCGAGAAAACGGAUCCGACAGUGAGGGACGAAAGCCAGGGUCUCCAACCGGAUUAGAUACCCGUGUAGUCC